AGCCUGUAUUGCUGAUGGAAGUAGUUUCAAUUAUGUUGCCUAAAGUGAAGAGUACUUAAGAACAAAUCACUCCCUAGACCACUGUAAGGACACCACUGAUAAAGCACUAGUAGAACAAAUUAAUUUCACUUUUGUUAAAAUGGUUGCAUGAGCUCAUUCCCUAUGUUUAUAUUUGAAGCUAAACCAUUGCUGCCUAGCUGGCUUGUGACUAGUCAAAAUAAGAUUGCAGGGUACCACGGCGGCGGAUAUCACAUGUCCAGCAAUGGAAACCACCUCCCAGUGAAUUGGCAUGGCGAAUAUUCACUUUAAUUGUAGAAAUGCCCAAAUUUUCAAACAUCUUCUGAAUUGAAGUCUCAUUGGCAUCAACCAUCACACGCUUCUCAUCCAGCAUUAGGACAUUCAUGGAAAGCCAUUUAGAAGACAUCCACAGUGGGUGAUCAUCAGGAAUGAGUGGCACUGGUGGGUGAAUCACUGUCCAGCCUGCUUUCUUGAAGAGCUCAAUCUGAUGGCAGGGACGGUCUGGGUUGGACAACACAAGACCAGGUCCAAUGAUAUUAAAUGUGGCAUCAAUGUGCAUAGGGUUUGGAUCCUUAAAGGAUAUUACAUGCACUCGGUAGUCAGGUGCAAGAUGUCUCCUCAUCCAUUCAAUGCCCAUGUAAUUUGUAACCUGACUCCUUUGCACAAAGAUAUCUCUUCCAGCUCUAAUGAAAUCAGCAGCAUCAAAACAUGGCUCAAAUUCAGUAGUUACAAAUUUUCCCUGAGCAGCCAGUUUAUGUCUGUCUUCAACAGAGCGGAUAGGAUAAUCCUGAUCAUAGAGCUCAUCUGCCAUUGUGGGUUUGGGGGCAGUUGUCCACUUAGCACCAUUGUUGAAGUAAUCUUUAAUUAUUCGUCUGUAUGCUCUGUACUCAAAGAAACGAGCACGCCAAGCCAUAGGCGCUUCAAUGAUUUCAUUUCCUACCACCAGCAGGAUGUCUCUUGGCAUGGCAGCAUACAUACCUGUAGAUUCAAAAUCAGGAGUUCUAUACUUCACAGACCAGUCAAUUGGAUCAGGCCUCUUGACGAUUACACCUUCUUUUUUCAAAAUAUUGCACAUCUCUUCAAUUUCAGCAAUAGCUUUUUUCACGUGGUCUUUGGGGAAGCUUUCACCUCCAAAUUUCUGAUAGAAUCCCCAAUACUUUUCAUAUGUAUUGGCCUUAACCUCCACAGAAAAAGGAGGAACACAGGCAUUUUCAGCUCUUCCCACAAUGACCUCUUCCAGGGGGUCCCACUCGUUGUAGGAGCAGACGGGGCACUCCUUGGGCGCGGGGCUUUGGGCCUUGUCCUCAGCAGCACAGCGGUUCUGGGACGCCGCAGCCGCCUGGGUGCUCUGCAGAGAUCGCUGCACCCAUCCCGUGAAGGCCCUUCCGAGCCGCGAGCCGAUGAAAUGCGCCGCUUCGGCUCCCCGGCUCCCCCCGCGCAAACACCGCACGCGCAACAUCUCUGCGGACGCCGGCAACCUCGCGCCUCCCGGCCCG
rnacentral:lncRNA from 1 species